UACGUAGGGUGCAAGCGUUGUCCGGAUUUAUUGGGCGUAAAGAGCUCGUAGGCGGUUUUGAAGGUCGGGUGUGAAACCUCCAGGCUCAACCUGGAGACGCCACUCGAUACUUCAAUGACUUGAGUUCGGUAGGGGUAAGCGGAAUUCCUGGUGUAGCGGUGAAAUGCGCAGAUAUCAGGAGGAACACCGACGGCGAAGGCAGCUUACUGGGCCGAUACUGACGCUGAGGAGCGAAAGCGUGGGGAGCGAACAGG
rnacentral:rRNA from 1 species